rnacentral:rRNA from 1 species
UGAUGGCGACCGGCGCACGGGGUGCGUAACGCGUAUGCAACCUACCUUUUACAGGGGCAUAACACUGAGAAAUUGGUACUAAUUCCCCAUAAUAUCUGAGACGGCAUCGUUUUGGGUUGAAAACUCCGGUGGUAAAAGAUGGGCAUGCGUUGUAUUAGCUAGUUGGUGAGGUAACGGCUCACCAAGGCGACGAUACAUAGGGGGACUGAGAGGUUAACCCCCCACAUUGGUACUGAGACACGGACCAAACUCCUACGGGAGGCAGCAG